rnacentral:tRNA from 1 species
GGGGAUGUAGCUCAGUUGGUAGAGUGCUUGCCUCACAUGCACAAGGUCCUGGGUCCAAUCCCCAGCACCACAA